UACGAAGGGGACUAGCGUUGUUCGGAAUCACUGGGCGUAAAGCGCACGUAGGCGGAUUUGUAAGUCAGGGGUGAAAUCCCGGGGCUCAACCUCGGAACUGCCUUUGAUACUGCGAAUCUUGAGUCCGAUAGAGGUGGGUGGAAUUCCUAGUGUAGAGGUGAAAUUCGUAGAUAUUAGGAAGAACACCAGUGGCGAAGGCGGCCCACUGGACCACAACUGACGCUGAGGCGCGAAAGCUAGGGGAGCAAACAGG
rnacentral:rRNA from 1 species